rnacentral:rRNA from 1 species
GUAGGUGGCAAGCGUUGUCCGGAAUUAUUGGGCGUAAAGCGCGCGCAGGCGGUUCUUUAAGUCUGAUGUGAAAGCCCACGGCUCAACCGUGGAGAGUCAUUGGAAACUGGAGAACUUGAGUACAGAAGAGGAAAGCGGAAUUCCACGUGUAGCGGUGAAAUGCGUAGAGAUGUGGAGGAACACCAGUGGCGAAGGCGGCUUUCUGGCCUGUAACUGACGCUGAGGCGCGAAAGCGUGGGGGAGCAAACAGGAUUAGAUACCCUGGUAGUCCACGCCGUAAACGAUGAGUGCUAAGUGUUAGGGGGUUUCCGCCCCUUAGUGCUGCAGCUAACGCAUUAAGCACUCCGCCUGGGAGUACGGCCGCAAGGCUG